GACGAACGCUGGCGGCGUGUUUAACACAUGCAAGUCGAACGGAAAGGCCCUGCUUUUGUGGGGUGCUCGAGUGGCGAACGGGUGAGUAACACGUGAGUAACCUGCCCUUGACUUUGGGAUAACUUCAGGAAACUGGGGCUAAUACCGGAUAGGAGCUCCUGCUGCAUGGUGGGGGUUGGAAAGUUUCGGCGGUUGGGGAUGGACUCGCGGCUUAUCAGCUUGUUGGUGGGGUAGUGGCUUACCAAGGCUUUGACGGGUAGCCGGCCUGAGAGGGUGACCGGCCACAUUGGGACUGAGGUACGGCCCAGACUCCUACGGGAGGCAGCAGUGGGGAAUAUUGCACAAUGGGCGGAAGCCUGAUGCAGCAACGCCGCGUGCGGGAUAACGGCCUUCGGGUUGUAAACCGCUUUCGCCUGUGACGAAGCGUGAGUGACGGUAAUGGGUAAAGAAGCACCGGCUAACUACGUG
rnacentral:rRNA from 1 species